UACGGAGGGGGCUAGCGUUGUUCGGAAUUACUGGGCGUAAAGCGCACGUAGGCGGCUUUGCAAGUCAGGGGUGAAAUCCCGGAGCUCAACUCCGGAACUGCCUUUGAUACUGGCAAUCUAGAGACUGGAAGAGGUUAGUGGAAUUCCCAGUGUAGAGGUGAAAUUCGUAGAUAUUGGGAAGAACACCAGUGGCGAAGGCGGCUAACUGGUCCAGUACUGACGCUGAGGUGCGAAAGCGUGGGGAGCAAACAGG
rnacentral:rRNA from 1 species